CUUUCAGACAAUGCUCUGAGAAUAUUAAAGGAAAAGAUAGGGUCACCGUACGUUUUUUUCCGGCUAAAAUACAAAAUAGGAAAAUUCCAUGUAGAUUCCUUCAGAAAAUGCACUGUUUUAGAGUUACCUCCCCUUAAAAUGCCAAUUUGAAAACAUUUAAAAAACAACCAAAAAUGAUCUACACUUGUAUAAAUAUUAAUAUUUAUAAGUAAUAUUCUUAUAAAUUGGUUCUUUUAAAUGAAAAUUCACAUCAAAUAUCUCCAUUCAUUCAUCAAAUUU
rnacentral:lncRNA from 1 species